rnacentral:rRNA from 1 species
AUUGAACGCUGGCGGCAGGCCUAACACAUGCAAGUCGAACGAGGGGCGGACGGGUGAGUAAUGUGUGGGAAACUGCCUGAUGGAGGGGGAUAACUACUGGAAACGGUAGCUAAAACCGCAUACCAUCAGAUGUGCCCAGAUGGGAUUAGAUUGGGGGUGGGGUAACGGCGCACCAAGGCGACUAUCACUAGGUGGUCUGAGAGGAUGACCAGCCACACUGGAACGGAGACACGGUCCAGCCUCCUACGGGAGGCAGCAGUGGGUAAUAUGGCACAAUGGGCGCAAGCGUGCUGCAGCCAUGCCGCGUGUAUGAAGAAGGCCGUCGGGUUGUAAAGUACUUUCAGCGGGGAGGCGUUACCCGCAGAAGAAGCACCGGCUAACUCCGUGCCAGCAGCCGCGGUAAUUC